UACGUAGGGGGCAAGCGUUGUCCGGAUUUAUUGGGCGUAAAGAGCGUGUAGGCGGCCAGGUAGGUCCGUUGUGAAAACUCGAGGCUUAACCUCGAGACGUCGAUGGAAACCAUCUGGCUAGAGUCCGGAAGAGGAGAGUGGAAUUCCUGGUGUAGCGGUGGAAUGCGCAGAUAUCGGGAAGAACACCCGUGGCGAAGGCGGCUCUCUGGGACGGUACUGACGCUGAGACGCGAAAGCGUGGGGAGCGAACAGG
rnacentral:rRNA from 1 species